CAGGUCUUCGGAUGCUGACGAGUGGCGAACGGGUGAGUAAUACAUCGGAACGUGCCCGAUCGUGGGGGAUAACGAAGCGAAAGCUUUGCUAAUACCGCAUACGAUCUACGGAUGAAAGCAGGGGACCGCAAGGCCUUGCGCGAACGGAGCGGCCGAUGGCAGAUUAGGUAGUUGGUGGGAUAAAAGCUUACCAAGCCGACGAUCUGUAGCUGGUCUGAGAGGACGACCAGCCACACUGGGACUGAGACACGGCCCAGACUCCUACGGGAGGCAGCAGUGGGGAWUUUUGGACAWUGGGCGAAAGCCUGAUCCAGCCAUGCCGCGUGCAGGAUGAAGGCCUUCGGGUUGUAAACUGCUUUUGUACGGAACGAAAAGACUCUGGUUAAUACCUGGGGUCCAUGACGGUACCGUAAGAAUAAGCACCGGC
rnacentral:rRNA from 1 species